rnacentral:lncRNA from 1 species
AACAAUCUCUCAAUAGAAGGACUCACUUGUAUGGCGAACCUUACAAUGAACGGAAGCAGGCUGGUCAUGCUUAUGAUAGUUAUCCUCGCAUGUACCACGAUUCGUUCGCAGUGUAGGUGUACGGAAACAAUCAUGUGGAAUAUGGUAAAGUUUUUAUUGUAUCAAAAAUUAUUACAUAGAGUAUGAUCCCUCCUUGAAGAAUCACUAAUAGAAAGCUAGUUAGUUUCAAAAAAAAUGAAAGCUAGUUGACAUGUCGUUGUCGUUUGCAUGCAGGUCGAACAGUUGAGCAGAUGAACAGCAACAAGCUCCAAAUGUGCACAUGCUCACGGAGAAAAUCAGUUUACUGCUGUGACUUAGCAGGUGGUUGCUUUCCAACCGCAAAACAAUGUGUAAAAAGUUGUGCUCCUGGAUGCAAGUCAUCUCGUACCUUGAUAGAGCCAUGAGCAAGCACUACAUAUGCUUUAUGAUGAGAAAUUAUGUCAUGCCCAUCUUGAAAUAAAAUUACUAGAUGUGAUCCUUUU